rnacentral:rRNA from 1 species
AGACAGUUAACCAAAACGCAGCAGCUAGUUUAACAAAACUAACAGCUCUUUCAAGAUUAUGUGGUAGGUGGUGCAUGGCCGUUCUUAGUUCGUGAAGUGAUUCGUUCGCCCAAUCGCAUUUCCAAACAACUAACAACUCAGAAUGCUGGGCAAUAGGACGUUUAAAGUGGCUCCUUACACCUUACAAAGGAAUGGCUGAUGAGAAACAACUCGAUCCGCUCAGCGUUCUAUUGGAAUGCAACGGACGUGAUUGCAAGCUUUUGUUUUGAGUUGCGGUUUUACUGAAAGACUCUACAAUCCGCAAACUUCAAUGAUCUGAAGUAGAAAACCUACAUGCUACAGUGAGAUAUUGUGGAUAAACUUAAGCGACCGCUCCAACAUUGUGUUUUUUUAAAACUGAUGAAGGUUGCGGCAAUAACAGGUCUGUGAUGCCCUUCGAUGUCCCGGGCUG